rnacentral:rRNA from 1 species
UUCGCAAUGCCCGAAAGGGUGACGAAGCGACGCCGCGUGUGGGAAGAAGGCCUUCGGGUUGUAAACCACUGUUGGGAGUUAGGAAGUGUGGGGGUGUUAAUAGCGCCUUCACCUGACUAAAGCUCCAGAGGAAGCCACGGCUAACUCUGUGCCAGCAGCCGCGGUAAUACAGGGGCGGCAAGCGUUGUUCGGAAUUAUUGGGCGUAAAGAGCACGUAGGCGGCUAUGUAAGUCGGUUGUGAAAGCCUUCCGCUCAACGGGAGAACAGCAUCCGAUACUGCAUAGCUUGAGUGCGGGAGGGGAGAGUGGAACUUCUGGUGGAGCGGUGAAAUGCGUAGAUAUCAGAAGGAACGCCGGCGGCGAAAGCGACUCUCUGGCCCGUAACUGACGCUGAGUGUGCGAAAGCUAGGGGAGCAAACGGGAUUAGAUACCCCGGUAGUCCUAGCCGUAAACGAUGGGCACUAAGUAGAGGGGUUUU